UACGUAGGGUGCGAGCGUUGUCCGGAAUUAUUGGGCGUAAAGAGCUCGUAGGCGGUGUGUCACGUCGGCCGUGAAAACCUGCAGCUUAACUGUGGGCGUGCGGUCGAUACGGGCAUCACUGGAGUUCGGCAGGGGAGACUGGAAGUUCCUGGUGAUGAGCGGUGAAAUGACGCAGAUAUCAGGAGGAACACCGGUGGCGAAGGCGGGUCUCUGGGCCGAUACUGACGCUGAGGAGCGAAAGCCGUGGGGGAGCAAACAGGAUA
rnacentral:rRNA from 1 species